GCCCCUCAUCAAAUUAGAUAUUGACUUAUGGUAUCUACACAAUAAAUUACCUUUCAUGAUAUUUAUGCUUUUAGCCAUAGACUUAUUAUUCAUUAUUAAUUAGACCACUGAUACUUUGGCUAAUUACAUAAUGGCCCUAACACAUGUAAUAUUACUAUUGUGACCCAAAAAUCCUAACAAUCUCCCACUGGUCACAUAUGUAAUUUUACACAUGUGUUAGACUUUAUGAGCUCAAAAUUUGCCAUUAUAUUCCUUAAGCAUAUCCAAAUUAUCUCGUCCAUUAGUCAUGCCAAUAUAUAGAACUAAUGUGAUUUUCGUUAUAUCAAUCAUAACUAAACCCAUCAAUGAUCACCAAUAGUGACACAACUAAAUGACAUAGAUCUAUCAUGAAAUGUGUUGCAUGAAAAUCACAUGAAGUUGGUCUGUAUAUGUCGAUUUUCAACUGGUCCUCCUUAGUCCUUAGUGAGAUCAAACCUUAACCAAAGUCAGAGUGUAAAAAUACCAAAACUUUAUUUCUGCAAAAAAUAUUCUUAACUCUUAAUUGAACUGAAGUAUGUCUAUAUCAUAAAAGCAUUAAAAAUAACAAACUCCCAC
rnacentral:lncRNA from 1 species